ensembl:lncRNA
AUGGAGAUCCAGCACCUGUGUCCCACCUGGUGGGAUGGAGAUCCAGCACCUGUGUCCCACCUGGUGGGGAUGGAGAUCCAGCACCUGUGUCCCACCUGGUGGGAUGGAGAUCCAGCACCUGUGUCCCACCUGGUGGGAUGGAGAUCCAGCACCUGUGUCCCACCUGGUGGGAUGGAGAUCCAGCACCUGUGUCCCACCUGGUGGGAUGGAGAUCCAGCACCUGUGUCCCACCUGGUGGGAUGGAGAUCCAGCACCUGUGUCCCACCUGGUGGGAUGGAGAUCCAGCACCUGUGUCCCACCUGGUGGGAUGGAGAUCCAGCACCUGUGUCCCACCUGGUGGGAUGGAGAUCCAGCACCUGUGUCCCACCUGGUGGGAUGGAGAUCCAGCACCUGUGUCCCACCUGGUGGGAUGGAGAUCCAGCACCUGUGUCCCACCUGGUGGGAUGGAGAUCCAGCACCUGUGUCCCACCAGGUGGGGAUGAGAUCCAGCACCUGUGUCCCAUCAGGGGGGAUGAGAUCCAGCACCUGUGUCCCAACAGGUGGGAUGCAGAUCCAGCACCUGUGUGCCACCAGAGGGGAUGCAGAUCCAGCACCUGUGUCCCAGCACAUCAACAUGCAGGUCUGGUACCUGUGUCCCCACUGACCCAGGAUGCAGGUUUGGUACCUGUAACCUGCUAGACUGGGAUGCAGAUCUGGUGUCAAUGUCCCAGCAGGCCAGGAUGCAGAUCCAGCACCUGUAUCCCACCAGGCUGGGAUGCAGGAGCAGUACCUGGUGUCCCAUUAGGGCACCAUUAGAGAUGCAGAUCAGGUAUCCAUGUCCCAGUGGGUUGGGAUGCAGGUUUGGUACCCAAGUCCCAUCAGGCUGGGAUGCAGGUUCAGCACCUGUGUCCCAUCAGUUUGGGAUGCAGGUCCAGUUCCUGUGUCCCACUGACCCAGGAUGCAGGUUUGGUACCCAAGCCCCAUCAGUUUGGGAUGCAGGUCCAGUUCCUGUGUCCCACUGACCCAGGAUGCAGGUUUGGUACCCAAGCCCCAUUAGACUGGGAUGCAGGUCCAGCUCCUGUGUCCCAGUGGGUCAGGAUGAAGCUUUGGUACCAAUGCCACAUCAGUUUGGGAUGCAGGUCCAGCUCCUGUGUCCCACUGGCCCAGGAUGCAGGUUUGGUAUCCAAGUCCCAUCAGGCUGGGAUGCAGGUUCAGCACCUGUGUCCCAUCAGGUUGGGAUGCAGGUCUGACACCCAUGUCCCACUGACCCAGGAUGCAGGUUUGGUACCCAAGCCCCAUUAGACUGGGAUGCAGGUCCAGCUCCUGUGUCCCAGUGGGUCAGGAUGAAGCUUUGGUACCAAUGCCACAUCAGUUUGGGAUGCAGGUCCAGUUCCUGUGUCCCACUGACCCAGGAUGCAGGUUUGGUACCCAAGGCCGUCAGACUGGGAUGCAGGUCCAGCUCCUGUGUCCCACUGGCCCAGGAUGCAGGUUUGGUGCCCAAGCCCCAUCAGUUUGGGAUGCAGAUCUGGUACCCACAUCCCACGAGGUUGGGAUGUAAGACCAGUACCUGCUGUCCCAUCAGGUCAGGAUGCAGUUCUGGCACCUCUGUCCCACCAGUUUGGGAUGCAGCCCCAGUACCCAAAUCCUGCAGGAUGCCCACUGGGCACACCCCAAAAUCCAGGCAGCUCCCAUGGAGCUACAUCAGCCACCACAGUGCCAGGUCCAGCCCUGCACCCCCUAAUUUCUCAUCCCCCUAAAAGCUUGCUGUCCUUCUACCCAACACGAUACAAACGGGAAUUUAAACAUCCCAAAACACCCCCUCUGUGCACAGGGAUCAGGGUCACCCUCUCCCCAGCCCCCAAAAUCCUUGGUGACCCCGAGAGGAGCAGGAGAGGCCCCUCAGUGAGGACAGGCAGGGCUGGAAGAGCCUCUCACCUGUCAGAUGCCACAGGUGAGGGGACAGUGCAGGGCACAGGGGAUGGGACACCGGGGUCCUGACACCACAUCACCCCUUAGGGCACCAGACUGGGGGGACACAUGCCCUGAUCAUCCCUCAGGAGUCCUUGGAUCCCCACCAAACCCCCGCCCCAGAUCCUCCCCUCAAAGAAAACCACAACUCUGCUCUCCCCAACCCCAAAUUCCCCCAAAUUCCCAACUGCACAUCGACAACGGAGCCACCAGGGAAGAGACUGGAUCCAAAGGCACAACCACUCCAAGGAGAGUGAAAGUGCCCCCCCCCCCCCCCCCCCCCCCCCCCCCCCCCCCCCCCCCCCCCCCCCCCCCCCCCCCCCCCCCCCCCCCCCCCCCCCCCCCCCCCCCCCCCCCCCCCCCCCCCCCCCCCCCCCCCCCCCCCCCCCCCCCCCCCCCCCCCCCCCCCCCCCCCCCCCCCCCCCCCCCCCCCGAAAAGAAAAAAAAAAUAAAGGGACGAAGAUUGGAAAAGUUUAAUAGAGGGAGAAAAAGUCUAUUAAAAAAAAAAAAAAUAAGGCAGGCAGCCCGUCUCAGGGGAAGAGCUGAAAUAUUAAAGAAAGGAAAAUCGCUUCUCCUGCUGCCGAGCCAGAGCAGAAUGGAGAGGCUGGAAGAGAAGGAAUGGGGAACUUUUAAUUGAAAAAAGGGAGAUUCAAAUGAAAUAUCCAAUAUCCCCCGUUAAAGAAAAGAAGAAAGACGGACCUUGGCCGCUGAGAAAUUGCUAAAAGCCCCAAGUUUUCUCUCUCGGAAGUUAUAGGAAAGAGGGAUGAGAGAAAGGAAAGGAAAAAAAGGGUUUUUCAUCCGAGAGGAACUCAGGGGCAAUGGAGGAGGAGGGCGGGGAGAGAGAGAGACAGAGAGAGCAAGUUUUAUUCAUUUAUUUUAUUUUAUGAGAUGAGUAAAAAUAAUAUAUUUAAAAUAAAAAAAAAAAAAAAAAAAACCCC